GUGGGUGUUGGGCUGCAGGACCCCACCUCAGGGUGGGAGCUGGGGUCCCCCAGGCCAUGCGUGCUGGCCACGGGGUGUCCUGCAGGCACUGGAGGCUGGGGGUUGCCCCUAAAAGCUACACAGCAGACAUCUCUGUGGAGUCAGGUCCAGUGUUACCUCCAGUCCUCCAUUGUCACAGGACAGGGAACAACACCGGGCCAAGAGCUUUGGGGGGAUUUGGCUCCGUCCAGCACUGAUGAAGGGAGCUGUUGACUGUUACAUCUCAUUGCAUGCAAUGCCAGCAGGGACUGAACAGGGGUUACAGAACAUCACAUCACCCCAGCACCACUCUGGGCUUCCUGUGACAGCUCCAGUGACCCCACAGCUCUGGGGUGAGUCAGCCCAGCAUGGGAAUCCAGCAGGAAAUUCUGACAGCGAUAGAAAGAAAAGACAGAGUUUUUUGUUGGCCUGAGGGAUUGGUUAGCAGGAGGAAAUGAGCCAGAGAACACAAUCCAGCAUUGUCAGUGCUUCUGGAAAUGUUAUGGCCAUUCACAGACAGUGUAAUUCCUCCAGACUUUGCUCAGUGGGAAGAGUGUCGAGGGCGUUUGCUGUUUUCCGUGUCUGGCUUUGCCCCACCAAACCCUGCACUCUCUCCCAGUCUGACUGUACCCACUGUUAUCUCUCAUCUGUAACUGUAAAUACUCCAGGGCAGAGAUCAGCAUUGUUACCUGUUGUAUAUUACCUAGCUGAAAGGGGCCAAGGAUUUUAUGUGCUUUGGCAAUAAACAGA